rnacentral:rRNA from 1 species
UACGAGUGCUCCAAGCGUUAUCCGGAAUUAUUGGGCGUAAAGGGUGUGUAGGUGGUUGUGUUAGUCUUCUGUUAAAUUCUUCGGCUUAACCGGGGGCAUGCAGGGGAAACGGCACAACUAGAGGAUGCGAGAGGUGAACGGAACUCAUGGAGUAGGGGUGAAAUCCGUUGAUAUCAUGGGGAACACCAAAUGCGAAGGCAGUUCACUGGCGCACUCCUGACACUGAGACACGAAAGCGUAGGUAGCGAAUGGG